rnacentral:rRNA from 1 species
CUACGGGGUGCACCAGUGGGGAAUAUUGGACAAUGGGGGAAACCCUGAUCCAGCAAUGCCGCGUGUGUGAAGAAGGCCUGCGGGUUGUAAAGCACUUUCGGUUGGGAGGACUGCUUCUAGCACUAAUAUUGUUGGAAGUUGACGUUACCUUCAGAAGAAGCACCGGCUAACUCCGUGCCAGCAGCCGCGGUAAUAAGGAGGGUGCAAGCGUUAAUCGGAAUUACUGGACGUAAAGCGCGCGUAGGCGGCUAGAUCAGUCGGGUGUGAAAGCCCCGGGCUUAACCUGGGAACUGCAUCCGAUACUGUCUAGCUUGAGUACAGGAGAGGAGAGUGGAAUUCCACAUGUAGCGGUGAGAUGCGUAGAUAUGUGGAGGAACACCAAUGGCGAAGGCAGCCCUCUGGCCUGAUACUGACGCUGAGGUGCGAAAGCGUGGGGAGCAAACAGGAUUAGAUACCCUAGUAGUC